rnacentral:rRNA from 1 species
ACAACUUUCAGCAACGGAUGUCUUGGCUCCCGCAACGAUGAAGAACGCAGCGAAAUGCGAUACGUAAUGCGAAUUGCAGAAUCUCGCGAGUCAUCAAAUCUUUGAACGCACCUUGCGCUUCCGGAGAAAUACCGGCAGCAUGUUUGUUGGAGUGUCU